rnacentral:rRNA from 1 species
ACGAACGCUGGCGGCAUGCCUAACACAUGCAAGUCGAACGCCCCCUUCGGGGGGAGUGGCGCACGGGUGCGUAACGCGUGGGAACCUGCCCUUAGGUUCGGAAUAACUCAGAGAAAUUUGAGCUAAUACCGGAUAAUGUCUUCGGACCAAAGAUUUAUCGCCUUUGGAUGGGCCCGCGUAGGAUUAGGUAGUUGGUGGGGUAAGGGCCUACCAAGCCGACGAUCCUUAGCUGGUCUGAGAGGAUGAUCAGCCACACUGGGACUGAGACACGGCCCAGACUCCUACGGGAGGCAGCAGUGGGGAAUAUUGGACAAUGGGCGAAAGCCUGAUCCAGCAAUGCCGCGUGAGUGAUGAAGGCCUUAGGGUUGUAAAGCUCUUUUACCAGGGAUGAUAAUGACAGUACCUGGAGAAUAAGCUCCGGCUAACUCCGU